GACAGCGUCAACGUAUUUUUUACGUCAAGUUGAUGUUAUUUAAAGAAGCUCAUCCGACAACACAAGGCGCUGAAUGUUGAAAGACGAACACUCAAAAAAGAUGUGAUGUAGUGUUUGAACCUUUUGCAAUUGACAAUAAUCACAAUAUGCUGAGCUGACCAUUUUGAGACGAUGAAGAACCAAGGUACAGUAUUAACUUGGACAUCGAGAGUAUUAAACCAUGAACCCACAUUUUCAUUGUGCACACAAUUAUAUGAAUGUCUCCCCCACGCUUCACACAUGCGUUGCCUUAAGAGACUAACUACAUCUGUGUAAGUGCACUCAAGAUUGCAACAGCUUCAGCUGUAAAAUACUG